rnacentral:rRNA from 1 species
CAGCACCUCAAGUGGUCAGGAUGAUUAUUGGGCCUAAAGCAUCCGUAGCCGGCGCUGUAAGUUUUCGGUUAAAUCUGUACGCUCAACGUACAGGCUGCCGGGAAUACUGCAGCGCUAGGGAGUGGGAGAGGUAGACGGUACUCGGUAGGAAGGGGUAAAAUCCUUUGAUCUAUUGAUGACCACCUGUGGCGAAGGCGGUCUACCAGAACACGUCCGACGGUGAGGGAUGAAAGCAGGGGGAGCAAACCGGAUUAGAGACCCGAGUAGUCC